rnacentral:misc_RNA from 1 species
GCGGAGGAAAAGAAACCAACCGGGAUUGCCUCAGUAACGGCGAGUGAAGCGGCAAGAGCUCAAAUUUGAAAUCUGGCCCCUCCGGGGUCCGAGUUGUAAUUUGUAGAGGAUGCUUCGGGUGCGGCCCCCGUCUAAGUGCUCUGGAACGGGCCAUCGGAGAGGGUGAGAAUCCCGUCUGGGACGGGGUGUCCGCGUCCAUGUGAAGCUCCUUCGACGAGUCGAGUUGUUUGGGAAUGCAGCUCUAAAUGGGUGGUAAAUUUCAUCUAAAGCUAAAUACUGGCCGGAGACCGAUAGCGCACAAGUAGAGUGAUCGAAAGAUGAAAAGCACUUUGAAAAGAGAGUUAAACAGCACGUGAAAUUGUUGAAAGGGAAGCGCUUGCGACCAGACUCGCUUCCGGGGUUCAGCCGGCUUUCGGGCCGGUGUACUUCCCCGGGGGCGGGCCAGCGUCGGUUUGGGCGGCCGGUCAAAGGCCCCUGGAAUGUAACGCCUCUCGGGGCGCCUUAUAGCCAGGGGUGUCAUGCGGCCAGCCUGGACCGAGGAACGCGCUUCGGCACGGACGCUGGCAUAAUGGUCGUAAACGACCCGUCUUGAAACACGGACCAAGGAGUCUAACAUCUACGCGAGUGUUCGGGUGUCAAACCCGUGCGCGCAGUGAAAGCGAACGGAGGUGGGAGCCCCCUCGCGGGGCGCACCAUCGACCGAUCCUGAUGUCUUCGGAUGGAUUUGAGUAAGAGCGUAGCUGUGGGGACCCGAAAGAUGGUGAACUAUGCCUGAAUAGGGCGAAGCCAGAGGAAACUCUGGUGGAGGCUCGCAGCGGUUUCUGAACGUGCAAAUCGAUCGUCAAAUUUGGGUAUAGGGC